UACGGAGGGUGCGAGCGUUGUCCGGAAUCACUGGGCGUAAAGGGCGCGUAGGUGGCGCGGGAAGUCAACGGUGAAAGUUCGGGGCUCAACCCUGAAUCGGCCGUCGAUACUCCCGGGCUCGAGCACUGUAGAGGCAGAUGGAAUUCCGGGUGUAGCGGUGGAAUGCGUAGAGAUCCGGAAGAACACCGGUGGCGAAGGCGGCUACCUGGACCAGCACUGACACUGAGGCACGAAAGCGUGGGAGCAAACAGG
rnacentral:rRNA from 1 species